rnacentral:rRNA from 1 species
AGUGAACGCUGGCGGUAGGCCUAACACAUGCAAGUCGAACGGCAGCACAGUAAGAGCCUACUCUUACGGGUGGCGAGUGGCGGACGGGUGAGGAAUACAUCGGAAUCUACUUUUUCGUGGGGGAUAACGUAGGGAAACUUACGCUAAUACCGCAUACGACCUACGGGUGAAAGCAGGGGAUCUUCGGACCUUGCGCGAUUGAAUGAGCCGAUGUCGGAUUAGCUAGUUGGCGGGGUAAAGGCCCACCAAGGCGACGAUCCGUAGCUGGUCGGAGAGGAUGAUGGGGCACACUGGAACUGAGACACGGUCCAGACGCCUGCGGGAGGCAGCAGGAGGGAGUGGGGCGCAAUGGGCGAAAUCUUGACGGAGCAACGCCGCGUGAGUGAUGAAGGUCUUCGGAUCGUAAAACUCUGUUAUUAGGGAAAAACAAAUGUGUAAGUAACUAUGCACGUCUUGACGGUACCUAAUCAGAAAGCCACGGCUAACUACGUG